rnacentral:rRNA from 1 species
CCUACGGUGGGCAGCAGUGAGGAAUAUUGGUCAAUGGGCGGAAGCCUGAACCAGCCAAGUAGCGUGCAGGAUGACGGCCCUACGGGUUGUAAACUGCUUUUAUACGGGAAUAACGCGCCUUACGUGUAGGGCUUUGCAUGUACCUUAUGAAUAAGGACCGGCUAAUUCCGUGCCAGCAGCCGCGGUAAUACGGAAGGUCCGGGCGUUAUCCGGCUUUAUUGGGUUUAAAGGGAGGGGAGGCCGGAGGUCAAGCGUGCUGUGAAAUGUUCGGGCUCAACCCGGGGCUUGCAGCGCGAACUGGCGUGCUUGAGUCCGCGGAAAGCAGGCGGAAUUCGUCGUGUAGCGGUGAAAUGCUUAGAUAUGACGAAGAACCCCGAUUGCGAAGGCAGCUUGCUGCAGCGGAACUGACGCUGAUGCUCGAAAGCGCGGGUAUCGAACAGGAUUAGAUACCCCAGUAGUC